CACACGCAGGGGAGUAUGUGGUUUAAUUAGACGCAACGAGAAGCACCUUCACAUGUCUACACAUCGAGAGACGUUAAUAGAAACAGGAGUUCCCUUCGGAACUCAGAGACAGGUGGUGCAUGGUUGUCGUCAGCUCGUGUCGUGAGAUGUUGGGUUAAGUCCCGCAACGAGCGCAACCCUUACUUCAGUGCUACGCAAGAG
rnacentral:rRNA from 1 species